rnacentral:rRNA from 1 species
UACGGAGGGGGCUAGCGUUGUUCGGAAUUACUGGGCGUAAAGCGCACGUAGGCGGCUCCUCAAGUCAGAGGUGAAAGCCCAGGGCUCAACCCUGGAACUGCCUUUGAAACUAGGUAGCUAGAAUCUUGGAGAGGUCAGUGGAAUUCCGAGUGUAGAGGUGAAAUUCGUAGAUAUUCGGAAGAACACCAGUGGCGAAGGCGACUGACUGGACAAGUAUUGACGCUGAGGUGCGAAAGCGUGGGGAGCAAACAGG